rnacentral:lncRNA from 1 species
GUCUGAGGAGUGGUUCUGCAAUUCUUUGGCAAUCUCCCCAGAGCUAGUGAUAUGAAGGAGCUCUGUGAAGAUUGAGGGGAAGAUAGAGAUGAGGUUAGCAGGUCACACUGCGAUUGUUAGCUUUUAAGAAGUCACAGAGGGACUAGGGACUAGGAGUCACAAAGGGCUCAAUUUGGUAAAGUGUCUGUCAUACAAGCGUGAGGACCUGAGUGUUCAGAGCUUUAAAAAAUGGUGUGGCCAUGCGGAUCUGUAACUCUAGAGGACAUUCUGGACUCUGAUGCAUUCUCUCAUAUUCUAAUAUGGACUGAAGUGGAAGUUUCUGGGCAUGUCAUGUGAUGCAGACGCAUGUGGUAUCUUGCUGAGUGAGGUAGACUCACAUGGUAUUUUGCUGAGGUUGGAAAGACACAUGAUGUUUGGAGAGAGUAUAACUAGGACUCAAUGGACAGCGAUGUCCCGCUUGCAUAGUGAUCCUGGCAACACUUUUUUGUUCUUGACUCUUCACUGAUCUUCACUUCAUUGAGAGAGGCAUGGCCGAGAACUCCUGGCAUCCUGUAUGCUCCUGAGGCCUGGCUAUUUCUGCUGGAUCGGGCCACUGAUGCUGAAUUGUAUUUGGUAUCCUGACACUCCUGAGCUAGACUGCUGGUAUCCUGACAAAUGGAGAUUGGAAUCGCCCCCAAAGAACUACUUUAAACAGGGGGUGUUUGAGAACCAUUAUUAAAAGUAGAUUUUGAAAAAUCUAAGCCCUACAAUGGACAGCCACCUUGUGAUAUAUGCAUUAAAAAUCCAUGCUAUAGAUACGGCAGGCAAAACUUAAAGGAUUGACAGUGUAAGAAGGAAGCUUCAACUAUGCUCCAUGAGCCUUCCUGGAAAUAGGUUGCAUCAUAGGAGGGGAAGGAUUAUCACUCAAAGACGGUCACCCAUUGGUCAGUCCAUGAGUCUGUCUGUUGCUUUGGCCAAUUGGUUGUGAUCAACAGACUACUGCUUCCACCUUGAAAGACACCCACACCUCAGGGCUUAUCCUCCUAAAUGGUUUACAUGGCUUGUGUGAGGUACCUGGGAGCUUUGAGAAUCUGUGUUUGCCUGGCUUAGCAAAGUGUGUCAUCAAAAGCCUGGAGGAGACCCACACUCAGGAAUGGCUUGACAAUUCUCCAAGAACAACCCAGGCAGCUUUGAAGGAGUUUAUACCAGUGGAUUCAUCCCCCUGCAAGGGAACUUUAUUGGCCUGUUGCUCACAGAAAAUACAAUGGAAAGAACACAAUGUUUAGUUCAACACACGAUAGAAAGAGAAAAUAAUUCACAACAAGAAAAUAUCACUCAAAGAACAAAAAUCACAUAAAAUGAAAACAAGAAACUGGGGCAAGGCAAGGAGAGAGACUCCAUAUUGCUAAAAGGAUGAGUUAAUGAAUUUACCAUGACUGAGUGGAAAGGUUUGGUUCUGAAGCAGCAAGAGCAAAAAUAAGUACCAUUUUUUUUUUACUAUUUUACUAACAACAAUAAUAAGUAAACACAAUGCUGCUAACAGAAAAUCGAUGAAAAAUGAUUUUUAUAAGAGACUUCUUCCAUUUCUACAGUCUUUUAUCUAAGACAGUAAGAAAUAGUUUCUCUUUUGGACUGAAAUUCAGGGGUCCUGGCUCAGCAUGCAUAAGGCCCAAGGUUCAACCCUCAGCACUGUAGGAGAAAACCAAAGCAAUUAUCUUCACAUUAUGAUCAAUUCCAAAAACAGGGACACCAUUCCUGUGUUCAACAAUGGUAGUUUUGAAACUUCAGUGUGAUGAUGAGUAUAAUAGCCAACAUGACAAAAUCUAGAACCACUCAGAAAUGGAGUCUCAGAGAGGGGCAUUCUAGAUCAAAUGGUAUGUGGGAAAUCUUGAUUAUAGUCAUUGAAGAGGGAAGACUGAGUCAUUGAGGGUGGCACCAUUCCCUAGGCAGGGGGAUCCUAGACUCUAACAGUGGGGAAAGUCAAGUGAACACUAGCAUGCAUGCAACCAUUGUUCUCCAUUUCUCAAUAAGGAAGUUAUGCAACCAGAUCCGCCAAGCUCCUUCCACCUGUGACAUCCUUGCUAUCAUGGACUGAAACCUGGAACUGUGAGCUGAAAUAAACCCUUUCUCCCUUAACCUUCUUUGACACAGUAUUUUGUCUUAGCAGCAGAAAAGAAUGGAAGACAUUGAAAUCUGGAUGUCCCAGAGUGCUGAUCUCUGCCUUUAUUCCCCAGUGUGUCUGAUUGCCUCUACCCUGAGGAUUUACAUUUCCACACAAGCUUCCAGGUGACGCCGAUGCUGUUGAUCUGGGAUGUGACCAUACUGUGAGAACCGUUGCUCUUGAGCAUGACUGCGGAGUGACAUCUGAGAAGAGCUGUGAGUGGCCUGUUGGAAACAGCUUUAAAAGAACAAUGUCUUCUUGGGGCUACACGAUUGCUCAGUGGUUAGGACACUCAUCACCAAGCCUGACAAUCUGGGUUUGAUUCCUGGAACCCACAUGAUGGAAGGAGAAAAACAUCUCCUGCAAGUUGUCCUCUGACCCUGACACAUGUGCUAUGGCAUUCACAAGCACAUAAAAAUAUUUGUUUAAUGUCAUAAUGAACUGUUCUUUAAUGGCAGUGACCUGUAUAACUUCAGUACCAAAGCCAAGAAACUGACUUGGCAAAAGCCUCUGAUGGCUGAGUUCACCAGUUUUAUAUGCAUCUGUGCAUACAUGUGUGUGUGUGUGUGUGUGUGUGUGUGUGUGUGUGUGUAUGUAUGUGUGUGUGUGUAGCUCUUUACAAUUCUGUUGUAGAUCUUUACAACUGUAUUGUGUGUGUGUGUGUGUGUGUGUUUAUGUAGCUACCACCACAACCCAGAUUGGUUGUGUAGAAGAUGACGGUUCAGUGGGUAAAGACACUGACUUGAGUUUGAACCCCAGGAUGUACAUGGUCAAAAGGGAGAAUUCACUCCUGUGGUUGACUUCUGACAUCCACUUGGCAUAAGCACACACACAUAAAACUCUGCCACAAAUAAAUAAAAAGAAAA